rnacentral:rRNA from 1 species
AUUAAACGCUGGCGGCAGGCCUAACACAUGCAAGUCGAGCGGCAGCGCGUCCGACCACCCUCGGGUGGUCGGAUGGCGGCGAGCGGCGGACGGGUGAGGAAUGCAUCGGAAUCUGCCUCGUUGUGGGGGAUAACGUAGGGAAACUUACGCUAAUACCGCAUACGACCUACGGGUGAAAGUGGGGGACCUUCGGGCCUCACGCGAUGAGAUGAGCCGAUGCCGGAUUAGCUAGUUGGCGGGGUAAAGGCCCACCAAGGCGACGAUCCGUAGCUGGUCUGAGAGGAUGAUCAGCCACACUGGAACUGAGACACGGUCCAGACUCCUACGGGAGGCAGCAGUGGGGAAUAUUGGACAAUGGGGGCAACCCUGAUCCAGCCAUGCCGCGUGUGUGAAGAAGG